GUCUCAACAGCUCGAUGGUUAAUGUUCCGGCCUAGCAACCCGGGGCUCGCGGGUUCGAAUCUCCGCCUUGGAUG